GGAACAGCUUUGUUUCAAACUCUCUGUCCCUCCACCUUCCUUCUUCAGUUAGAAGGUAAGCCAGAAGCAUUGACAUGUGGUUUCUUUAUGCUGUUUGGAAAAGGGGGCAUCCCAUUUUAAUCACUGCUGUUUGAAGAAUCUAUUGCUUAAGCAUUCUGUUUCAUAUCCUAAUGAGAAGCUCCACUAGGAAGAAGGCUUAGCAUCCUCACCCUCCACCACCACUGAAAGCUCAUUUCCUCCGGCCAGGUGCUCGCCUCUGUUGCUAUCACAUAUGAUACUUUAAAUUGAUAGAACACACAAAGUCACAUGGGUGAUUCCUAAAUCUUACCAGAAAUGUUGACACUAACAUUUCCCUUUUUUUCUUCAGAAAUAAAGCACUUAUUUUAACCGUAGACUUUCCUGUUAGGAAUGGGAAAAUGUUGGCAGCAUUCCAGCUGGGCAGGAAUUGAAUUCUUGAAUCAGCAGGUCUCUGGUGAGAGUUUUCAUUUCAGAUCAGACAUUUAACUUCAUCAUUAUCCAAAACAGGGUGAGAGUUUUGCCUGAAAAAUAUUAUUCUAGAGAUGUUCUGAAAGUGAGAUUCCUUUCUCCCUGUGUCAAUUAUUGUUCCAGCGUCCACUGCUCCUCAUCUCUUUAUAGAUAACCAUUAGCAACUUGGUGAUCCUUCUCAGCUGAAUGAGAAGGCUUUGGGAGUUAACCUCAGCACUAUGGCCCUCUCACGAAUUAUAGCUUUGGUCAGGAGAGAGGAAGGACAAAGUUAAGAAGGCUAGUGGUGUGUUGUUUUAUAGUUCAUAGAACUCUUUCACACACCUUAAGUCACUGGAUUAGAAGAGUUCUCUCAUUUCCCAGUACCCUAUCUCCGUAUGGUUUGGGUCUUCAGAUUGAAGUGGGGAGGGCAUGGGGAGAUAAGAGAGAGGUCAGACCCCCAGCCUGUCCCUAACCAUUUUAAGUCCUCUGAACUAUAAUCCUGAAUCCAAAUCAUGCUAAUGAAAUGCUGACUUGAUUUGAUAGCAGAAAGCUGGUAUCUCAUAAAUGUUUUCCAAAGAGAAAUUUGAAUGUUUCCUGUUAUUUUUAUACUUAGUUUGAAGAUUUAGUUGUGAAACCACUU
rnacentral:lncRNA from 1 species